rnacentral:lncRNA from 1 species
UGCACUAAUACAAUGGAUGUUAUAACUAGAUUUGAAUUAAUUGCACCUACAACUGACGUUUUCUACUGAUUUCUCUGAACCGAACAGAUGUCCAAAUAUCAAUUACAAAAACAGUCUAUGAUCUCCAAUUCAAUUUCAAGUUCAUAACAUUCUUCAAUGAAAAAAAUCGAACUAAAACAGGACAUUAAGCUAUUCUAUACUAAAGCUACAACUAGGUGAAAAUCACAAGUUUAAAAGUCUCAAGCACUCCCAAGUAGUCCAGUUAUAGUCCAAAACGGUCUUGUUCAAGUACAAAUGAAGUUUCAUCCUAAACUACAUGGAGUAUGAUAUGAAAAUACAUGGAGAAUCAUUCCUCACUUCAUUUCAUGGCCAUAAGCAUGGGAAUUUACAGGAUGUGUACCUGGAGGUUAGAAUACAACAACAAGAAGAAGAGAUCAGCAAUGAUCAGCAGCGAGAUUAACAACACAGCUCACAGAACAACCCAUGAAUAAGCCAUAGAAGAAACAUCACCAAUGAAGAACAAAAAUAUACUUGACUGAACCCAAAUAAACUUGAAAUGGAACUCAGGACUCCUCUAAAUUUCAGCAACCAAACACUAUGGAUCAUCAAGCCAGUUUUUACCUUAGCUAAACUAGGAAUUUGAACUAAUAUCUGGAAUUUUAAACUAAUAUGAGGAGAAACUUUAGUGAAACAGUACUUUUUGGGACUUUGAAGGUUUUUCUGUUUGUUUUUUUUUCGUUUUUGAUGAAACUAAGAUCUAGAGGAACUAAAAUUCACAGAUUUUCAGCUUGUGGUUUUUGGAAUUUGAAAUUAGAACUUUCAGAUCUGUAAAGCUUGUAGAAUACUUUUUGGAGAUAUUUUUUAGAGGCAGAAAACUUACUAAACAAGGCAAUGGGCAUGCCUUUUAUAUGCAAAACUAAGGCUCUAUCAGAUUUUUUCAGUUUUUCAUUUUAAAACUUUCUUAAUUUUGUUUUUUGCUUAAAUGCCCCUAAGGGGCUGACUAGUUUCUCAAGUUAAAACCCCUAACUUUCUAAAAAUCUACUAUGAACCCUAUCUAGAAUCUUCUAGGGAGUUCUAUUCCAUGUUAUUACAAUGUCCCUUAAGUAAAAUGCCUAAAUUAUCCCUUAUUCAAUCUGAAGUCUACCCCAACUAGAAUUAACUGACCCAACCCAUUAACCUUGGUCUACUAAUCCUAGUUAACUAAAAUCUAGAUUAUUCAGCUAUAACCAAAACAGUUUCAGAAGCUCUAAGAUUGAAUUACCAAAAAAAACUGAAAAUUAAUCUUGAUUCAUACUUCUAUCGCAUUAUCAAUUAAACAAAACUAACAAAAGAAAAUAAAACUAAUACUUGAGUCAUGAAUUAGCUAACUCACAUUAGACUAAACUUAAACUAAACAACUAAAACACACGAACACAUGAUUGACUAAUCAGAAUAAUCAACUAAAAGAAGAAGAAAUUAAAGAAAACAUCAUCAUUAAUAAAAAAUAAAAGAAAAUGAUUAAGCAAAAAUCAAUAAUUAUGAACAAAAAUUAUGGAUAAAAACAGGAACCAACACACGAAUAAAACUAUACAAAGUUAAACAAAACUAAAAAAAAAUUAAUCAUCAAAUAAAAAUAGAAACUCACUGAUUUUCAACUUGACUGAAUUCUCGAAAUCGAUUUUCAACUAAUGUUAUGUGUUUAUUUUACCAAAAAUAAACAAAUAAUAUUUAGUGAGAACAAAAUAAACAAAUAACAUUUACUGAAAACCACUUGAGCACUUGAAAUACCAAAAAAUUGAAGUUCUUAGACCUUAGAUUUGAGAUUCGUGGGAUUCCACUUGGAUUCGAAGGAUUCCUUUUAGGGCCAUUGGACAAUCGCCGCCGGCGGAGGCGAUUUCCGGCCGACGGCGUGCGGUGGUAGGCGAUGGAGGGUUCUCUAGCUUGAGUGAGAAUGAGAGAGAAGGCUUGGGGGGUAGGGGUCUCCGAAACUCUU